rnacentral:lncRNA from 10 species
AAUGUCUGGGCAGGGGCUGUAAAAUUGGAAUAGGUCCCCCCCCACUCCUUAAUGUGGUGGCAGAGACCCCUGAGGGGAAAUGCAGAGGGCCUUGGUUCUCGGCUGGGCUGUGGAGCUGGGCACUCAGGGAGUUUCACAUAGCCACGAAGCUGCUUUCUCAGGCUCCUCUGGCAGGGAGCGUCAGGAUGAGAAUCCAGACCUGACUGCCACCCAGCCCUCUCACUUCGCAGAUGCAAAAAUCCAGACUCAGAAAGGGAGGUAACUUCUCCAACAGGGCGGGGUCUGAAGCCCAGGGUCCCGACCCCACCAAGCUGGCCCUGCAGGAGCCUCCUGAGAGGUGUCUCGGGAGCAGACCCAGGGGAAGGGGGCACUGUGCACUCUUGCCGGGUAGGCAAAAGUCUGUCUGCUUCUUGGCAGCUGUGUGGCUUCAAAGCCCAGACAGCAGGGACUGAAGACUGAGCAAGCCACCCCUCUCCUGUCCCAGACCCACCUGAACCCACCAAAGCUGGGAAAGGAGGGGUAGUGGAGACUCCAGAAAAACAGGAAAAAUUUAAACUCAACCACUAAGUAAAGCAUCAUUAACUCCUGUUGUGCUGAGCCCACAAACAGCCCCAGCACUCACUGUUCUACUGUCUGUCGCUGUGCAUUUGACAACUCUAGGGACCUCAUCAUAUAAUCAUGAAUGGAGUCUCUACGAGGGCAGGGAUGUUGGUUGGCUGUAUCCUCGGGCUGGAAGAGCACUGGCACGCAGCAGGCACUGAAUAGAAUUUCUAAAUAUACAAACGGAUGAACCAAUGGAUGGAUGGAUGAAUGAAGACCCUGUAUAGGUCAAUGCCUCAAAUGUCUGUGCCUGGCCUGGAGUUAUGUCCCUCACCCCCACUGUAGACUAACUCCUGGUCCCACCCUACGGCUUUGGAACUGAAGCCACAGGCCUACCAUCCCUGAGAGGUAGCGGUGCUCAGCGUGGCAGGACGCCCCACUUGAUGGUAGGCUUCUCCCAGAUGGCUAACUGCUUCGAGUCUUUCCCCCAGAUGUAACAUGUCUAUGGGAGGAUUAUGACAUGGGUAGAUGAGAGUCCCCAGCCAUGGAGGUGACAAUGUGCCCUGGAGCCUCACAAGGCAGCAGCCACCAGGAAGAGGCAUGGAGGCCAGGAAGGUCCUGGAACACCAGAAUUUGGCCAACAGAGCCUGAAGCCAGCACAUCGUGGAGGGGCAGCAGCCUGGGGGCAUUCGGGAGACCUGGAGAUGUGGCAGCUGGCCAGGAGCUGGGGUACAACCUUGACAAUCACUAACCUCUCACUUCCUCGUCCUGCCAGGCUAUUUAUAGCCUCCCUCUCUCUGAAAACUCCUUCACCCAUUUUUCUGAGCUUAACAAGCUUGGUGAAUUGAAAUCAGGUGGACCACCUCCCCAACCUCAGCAAGCCUGCUGGGGUGACUGCACUCAGGCCAGGCCUGCUGGCAGCUCCUGCUCCAUGACAGGGACCCUUGAGGGCCUGCUGAGAGUCACAGGGUUGGGGUGACCCCGGGAAGGUGGCAUCUAAAGAGAGGGCAGCAGCUGGGCACCCAGGCAGACCUCAGCCAGAGAUGCUGGACGAUGGUGACCCCAGAAGGGCUCAGCUCACCCCAGGCCUCCUCCCUGCUUCAGGAAAAACAAACAGAUUGGGACAGUGGAAAAACAGCUGUACCUUUAAAUUAUCUGGCCCACAGAUAUGAAAAACAUUUGCAUGCUGAAGCUGUUUGCAUCUUCGGUUAUUUUUAGGGUGAACCCAGUUGCCUCCCCUUGGAACCAGAUGAAGCCCCAGAGGCACGUAGUCCUUUUUCCCAGACGGGGGUCCUGGUCCUGUUUCCCUGGGAAUAAGGCUUGAGCAUGAGCUCUCUGGGACCCAGCCCCCGACCAGAACCACACCGUGCAUUCAGGCUUGGGAGGAACUGGAGCACCAGGGAGCCAAGGCUGCAACUUUGAACAUUUGCCACUGCUGACAUCGUGGCCACCCACCUGGGGCCAGAAAGAGCCCCUCCGCUGCCCCCAGAGCAUGGGUGAAGAGACGAACGCUUAGCCUACUACCUCCUCUCAUGCCAGGCCCAGCUGAUGGGAAUAUUUUGCUGAGAUAUUUCUAGCACCAGCAGCAAUUAAAGCAGAUUUUCUCUUCCACUCCCCUUCCCCAAAACAAGAAUAAAUCAGUUCUACCAAU